rnacentral:lncRNA from 1 species
UGGUACCCGAGGCCGGGCCGGAGCCGCAGGCCAGCCGCGAUUCCUUCGGGCGAUGCUGGGGGCUUUCCGGUCGGGGCCGCAGCCGCUUCCGGAGCCGCGGGCGAGGUGCAAGCGGUCUUCUCUGUCUUCUUUAUGGCCAGUAAAAUUCUCCAGAAGAGAUUUAUGGCAGCCUCACUCCCAGUAGUUUCUGCAUUUAGUGAGAUAAGAUGGAAUCUUGCUCUCUUGCUCAGACUGGAGUGCAGUGGCAUGACCUUGGCUCACUGCAACCUCACCUCUCGGGUUCAAGCGAUUCUGCCUCAGCCUCUCGAGUAGCUGGGACUACAGGUGGGAGACCUCCACAGAACCCUUCCAGCAAGCUGUCUUCUAAAGCAAACAAGAAAAGGAAAGUCUGAGCAGUUUUGAUUAGAUUUCCCAGAAGUCAAAGCAAGGAAAAAUGAAAAAGCUUCAUUUCUCACGUUCUUAAAAGAGAGCACAGAUGUUGCAUCAUCUGGUUAGAUACCCUGAGAAUAAAAUCUGGAUCCAGUGAGAGGAAAGAUUCUGGGUGCUCAUGAAAAAAGAAACAAAACAAAACUUGGGAGCCUCUUGAGAGUGUACAGCAUCAGCCCUUGCCAACUCUUGUUUAUAUGCAUUUAACUUUCAGUUAACCAUGGGAAUAAUUCAUGAAAAUCCAAUCUACAAACAAAGGCCAUCCUAACGUUCAUGUUAUUCUUUUCCCUAAGAAUCUUUCACAAGAGCUAUAAUCAAGUAGAAUUAUGCUUUGAUUUGAAUUCUAAUUCAAUUGAAAAUAAAAAAUGAGGGCCGGACGCGGUGGCUCAUGCCUGUAAUCCCAGCGCUUUGGGAGGCUGAGGUGGACGGAUCACGAGGUCAGGAGAUCGAGACCAUCCUGGCUAACACGGUGAAACCCGAUCCCUACUAAAAAUACAAAAAAUUAGCCGGGCGUGGUGGCAGGCGCCUGUAGUCCCAGCUACUCGGGAGGCUGAGGCAGGAGAAUGGCGUGAACCCAGGAGGCAGAGGUUGCAGUGAGCCGAGAUCAUGCUACUGCACUCCAGCCUGGGCGACAGAGCGAGACUCUGUGUAUAAAUAAAUAAAUAAAUAAAUAAAU